UGGUUAUAAAAUCAUUAUGAAAAUACCAAAUGAGUCAUAUUGCUUGCCUUAAUCCAUACAGCUAUAAACAUAGAUACAAGGUGAGGGACAGGGCAGGGAGCUUAGAUUUAUUUUUUUAGUAUGUAUAUGAGUGUAUGUUUUCAUAUACACAUGGGUGUAUGUUUUGUGGGGUGUGUAUUUGCAUAUGUGCAUGUGGGUGAGAGGCUGGUGGUCAACCUCAGUGUCAUUCCACAAAAGCUACCCACCUUGCUCUUUGAGACAAGGGCUCUCAUGCGGAUGUGGGGUUCAACUCCCUAAUGUGGGGAUUACAAAUGCAUAAGACCAUGCCUGGUUUUUAUUUAUGUGGGUGCUAAGAAAUAAACUCAGGUUCUCCCACUUGAGUGUUGUCUUAGUUAUGGUUUCUAUUACUGUGAAGAGACACUAUGAACAUGGCAACUCUUAUAAAGUAUUCAAUUGAGGCUGGCUUACAGCUCAGAAGUUUAGUCUAUUGUCAUCAUGGCAGGAAGCAUGGCGGCACAUAGGUAGACAUGGUGGCUGGAGAGCUAGCUGAGAGGUCUACAUCUGGAUGGGCAGACAUAAGGAAGACAGUGAGACACUGGGCCUGGCGUGAACAUCUGAAACCUCAAAGUUCACCCCCAGUGACACACUUCCUCCAACAAGGACACGUCCCCUGAAAGUGCCACUCCCUAUGGGCCUAUGGGGCCAUUUUCAUUCAGGCCACCACAAGUGCCUGAAGUGGAUGGAAAAGGUAUGAUGGCCCCGUGAGAAGAACUUCACAGAAGACAGGAAACUUUCAAAGUUCACAACACUGGGAAGAAGAAGCAUAAAGUUAAAACCACAGCUGCAAACUAUUUCCUGCCUGUACAGCAUGAGCCCAUUCCAACUGUCUCAUUUGGAUGCCUCAUGGUAUAAUCAUCUGACUGUAUCUCUGAAACAUCAUUAGGAUUUGGGAAGCAUGUUAACAAACACUUGAUGAAGCCACUCUGAAGAAAACACCAUUAAUCAUGUCAUCUGAUAAAAGACACGUCAGGAGAAGCAAUGGCUGACUUAUCCAAACAAGCUCUGGUGUGGAGAUGUGAGGAAGCCUGCCUAGCUCAGCAGGAGAGCUUCUUUGAAAUUCUGGGAAAUCUUCCUCUCACCACAGAAGAACCCAAAGGUAGAGACUGUAGGGAUACCAGAGUGAAGAAGCUGAUGUUCUUGUGUCUGGGACAACUGGCCCGAGGUCUGCUUUAGCUUCAGUUUGCUCCUCAACUAUGUAAUAAUAGAAAAUGUUGACUGAGUAUUUAAAUACUGACUAUACGGCAGAGCACAGGAAAGGAAAUGUCAGGCACGGGGGCAUGAAAUAAUUUUCCCAGGAUCACAUAGCUAGGAUGCUGCAGACUUGAACCCAGUCUGACCCUGGUGCUCUCAGGGCCACUGUGGCAUCACUCUGACUAGUGAGAUUGCAAUGUGAAAUAAUAGUCACAAAUGAGCAAUGUGCAGGCAGAUUGAAUCUCACCUCAUUUAUGUAAUAUCAACAUGCAUAACUUGAUUUUUCCCAGUUUUAAUGAUCCCAUAUGUAAAAUGGGCUAACAGUAAAAUCUGUUUCUUGAGAAGGUUUUCAGCAGUCACUCUGGUGUCUGCAUUAUACAAGCUUUUCCAUCCCACAGUGCCACAUGAAAUUACUGACUUGAACGUGAGAAUACGCAGCUCUCAUUUCCAUCCUUUUUUAUGUGCUAGGAACUCUCGUUUGUCAGUCACCCGCUUAAGUCUUCAGUUAUCUUCCAUGCAAAUUUAGAUGCUAUAUUAUGUGAUAGCAACGGUUUCUUCUCACUCUAAUAUUGUGUGAUUCUGGAUAUUACAGAAUAGCAACAAGGGUAUAUUUGUAUAUGUAAACUGUGCAUAUACUGGGAACUGCAAUUCUCACCCACCCGUUCAUCUUCUUAGUUCCAACAAUUUCUUCUUUAUUCUGGGCUCAUCUGUCAAAAUGUACAAGUAGAAUACUGUGAUUUCUAACUUUUUAGGAGUCUAUUAAUCUCUCUCUGUUAACAACCAGUUGCUUGAAGUACAAUGGCUCCUAUGCCUAGCGAUCUUUCACAUUCAUUUUCUAUUACCAUAGAGAAAUACCUGAAGUUGAGUACUUUACAAGAUGCUGAAAAUCCAAAUGCUGUGGUGCUAGCUCAAGCCAGCCUUCCCCUGUGUGCAGUGCGUCGUGGCUCAAUGGCACCCUCAUAAUGGGGCUGUCUGAAAGGAGGCGAUAUCACAUGGCAGAACAGUAAACCAUACCAGGAAGAGCCUCCCAGGCUGGGGAUUGAACCCAGGGCCUCACACAUAGCACAUGAGCACUCUAUAUCACUACACAAUAGCCCAACUCAGCCUCGCUCUUUUUGUUUGCUUACUUAACCAUUCCUUUGCAUGUGUUUAUGUAUGCGAUGUUCAUGCAUGUUUGCACACAUAUGAAAGUAUGUGUGUACAUGGGUGCACAUGCACAUGUGUGGAUGAUAUGUUAUGAAGGCCCAAGGCUUAUGUUGACAGUCUUCCUUGAUUAGCUCCUCUCACUAAUCAGCUAGUAUAGCUAUUCAAAUGGCUCUAGCAUCCCCUGUCAUUGCAUCCUGAGCACUGGAAUUACAAGUGGGUGGGGGGCAUUUAUGUGAGCACUGGGAAUCCAAACUCUGCUUCUUUUACUUGAGCAGCAAAUAUUUUAUCCUCUAAGCCAUUUCCUUCAGCACCCCUACUCUUUCUCUUAUUAAAAUUACAUGUAUGUAUGUAUGUAUGUAUGUAUGUAUGUAUGUAUGUCAGAGGACAACCUAGGUGCUGUGGAAUAUUAACUUAAUGUGUUACAUUCAUUAAUGCUGUGAAAUAUUUGUUUAAUGAUGCAAGUGUUGGCAUUCUUUUAUGUUGAAUUCGUUUAACUCUGUAAAGCUGUGUUACUUUGCCUGUAUAAAAUGCCUGAUUGGUCUAAUAAAGAGCUGAAAGACUAAUAGGUAAGCAGAAGAGAGAUAGGUGGGGCUGCCCAGCAGAGUAAUAAAUAAGAUGAUAAAUCUAGGCCUGAGAGAAGAGCAAGGAGUGAGAAAAGGAGGAGAGGAAGACGCCAGGGUCCAGACACUCAGCCACACAGCCACACAUGGAGUAAGAAAUAAGAAAGAUAUAUAAAACAAAGGUAAAAAGCCCAGAUGAAAAACAUAGUUAAAGUGAAAUGGGAUAAUUUAAGUUAGAAAAGCUGGCUAGAAACAAGCCAAUCUAAGGCCGGGCAUUCAUAAGUAAGAAUAAGUCUUGUAUUUAUUUGGGAGCUGGGUGGUGGGCACCC